rnacentral:rRNA from 2 species
GAUCCCUGGCUCAGGACGAACGCUGGCGGCGUGCCUAAUACAUGCAAGUCGAGCGGACCUUUUAAAAGCUUGCUUUUGAAAGGUCAGCGGCGGACGGGUGAGUAACACGUGGGCAACCUGCCUGUAAGACUGGGAUAACUUCGGGAAACCGGAGCUAAUACCGGAUAAUAUAAGGAACCUCCUGGUUCUUUAUUGAAAGAUGGUUUCGGCUAUCACUUACAGAUGGGCCCGCGGCGCAUUAGCUAGUUGGUGAGGUAACGGCUCACCAAGGCGACGAUGCGUAGCCGACCUGAGAGGGUGAUCGGCCACACUGGGACUGAGACACGGCCCAGACUCCUACGGGAGGCAGCAGUAGGGAAUCUUCCACAAUGGACGAAAGUCUGAUGGAGCAACGCCGCGUGAGCGAUGAAGGCCUUCGGGUCGUAAAGCUCUGUUGUUAGGGAAGAACAAGUUCGAGAGUAACUGCUCGCACCUUGACGGUACCUAACCAG